AUCACGGCCCAAGCCUAUUACCAACUGAGCCCCAAUCGGAACUAGGGUUAUCCUUCAUCUCUGUCAUUCCACGGCGAUCUCACCUAUGCAUCACUGAGUUUGCAAUCGUCCAUGUGAACCCUGUAACGUCUUAUCUUUUGACUAUUAAUUGAAUCCUUAAACGCCCCCAACCCAUAGUGGUUUCAUUCAAUGCGCCCACUUUGAGAUUCAUCAGUUUCUUACUCUCAAGCAUUAAAAUCCUUAGAAACCUAUCACCUGUUAUGGCUGCCUCAUCGACUCUGCUCGCCGGCUUGAAAGCGGGACGCUGCUUCAACCCCGUCGAAGUCUGGUUGCUGAGAUUUUGGGAAGCUCAGAACGAUCGUCUCGCUAUCAACUCAGAGAGCAUGGAAGUAUCUAUGGUGCUUGCUUUGAUGCUGGACGAGGCAUCGUCCCUGUUUACAAGUAACUAUCGCUCUCUUUACUUUGUGUGAUGUUUAUUUGUUUUUAGUCCGCAUAUUAAAGGAAAAGACUACAAGACCCUUCAUGGAACUUGCAUAGCUAAAGCUUGAAAAGGCUAAGCCCCGCAAAGUUGGAUCUACGAUGUUGGUACCGAGAAAGGUAGUUCGGGUGAACGAGAUUGGUGAAUUCAUCUUGCAAGAACCAUGAGGAGGAGUUUAACUGGAGUAAGAGUUCCUUAUGCUUUUGAAUUUCUAGAUGUUAACAUAAAAUCAUCAUUACAUCCCCAUUUCAAGAUUCACUGAUCCGAAGGCUUUAUCCUCAAAAACCUAUGUGGGACCUCCUUUGCAGGUUAAUGGACAUAUGUCUUCCUUGUGGAUGGUGGACUUAGGCGAAGAUCACCACGUCUCUUCCAUUACUUCUCUUUAUCACAUCCUCUGUUUUCGUAAAGACACAUGCAGUCCAAGAACUUCAUAACCUGAGUAAAAUAAAAGUUAGUUCGUUUUUAGUUUGAUAUCUAAGAACCUAACCAGCUGAUUUUUGUUGGGAUGCAGCUUAUGUGUGGGGCACUAGAUGACGUUGGGUCAAGAGCAUAUGCAAGGUCCUAGAAAUUGCAUGUAUCUUAUCUAAAUGUUUAAGCGUAGACUUUAUGUCUUAUUAAGACAAGCUGCUUAGGAAGAUUAUGUAUGUCUUGAUGGGUAUGAAGGGAUCAAUGGAUUGGAAAACAUGGAUGACAUUGAGAACUCUACGUUUACUUGGAAUACAGUUUUCCGUUGAAAACUACAACUGCAAUGACUGUCUCCACUACACGCUUGUGCCUUUUUCCUUUUGUUGUAAUUUUGAAUCUUGGAAAAAAUAUUCGACAGAAUAAAAUUUAAAUGGUUUUUAGUUCAAAA